rnacentral:rRNA from 1 species
UACGGAGGGUGCAAGCGUUACUCGGAAUUACUGGGCGUAAAGCGUGCGCAGGCGGUUUGUUAAGUCCGUUGUGAAAGCCCCGAGCUCAACUUGGGAAUUGCAGUGGAUACUGGCAGGCUGGAGUACGGUAGAGGAAGAUGGAAUUCCCGGUGUAGCAGUGAAAUGCGUAGAUAUCGAGAGGAACACCAGUGGCGAAGGCGAGUCCCUGGACAACACCUGACACUGAGGCACGAAAGCUAGGGGAGCAAACAGG